rnacentral:rRNA from 1 species
UACGGGGGGGCAAGCGUUGUUCGGAAUUACUGGGCGUAAAGGGCUCGUAGGCGGCCAACUAAGUCAGACGUGAAAUCCCUCGGCUUAACCGGGGAACUGCAUCUGAUACUGGAUGGCUUGAGUUCGGGAGAGGGAUGCGGAAUUCCAGGUGUAGCGGUGGAAAUGCGUAGAUAUCUGGAGGAACACCGGUGGCGAAGGCGGCAUCCUGGACCGACACUGACGCUGAGGAGCGAAAGCCAGGGGAGCAAACGGG